AUUGAACGCUGGCGGCAGGCCUAACACAUGCACGUCGAACGAGUGGCGGACGGGUGAGUAAUGUCUGGGAAACUGCCUGAUGGAGGGGGAUAACUACUGGAAACGGUAGCUAAUACCGCAUACCAUCGGAUGUGCCCAGAUGGGUUUAGCUUGUUGGUGGGGUAACGGCUCACCAAGGCGACGAUCCCUAGCUGGUCUGAGAGGAUGACCAGCGACACUGGAACUGAGACACGGUCCAGACUCCUACGGGAGGCAGCAGGGGGGAAUAUUGCACAAUGGGCGCAAGCCUGGUGCAGCCAUGCCGCGUGUAUGAAGAAGGCCUGCGGGUGGUAAAGUACGUUCAGCGGUGAGGCGUUACGCGCAGAAGAAGCACCGGCUAACUCCGUGCCAGCAGCCGCGGUAAUUC
rnacentral:rRNA from 1 species